rnacentral:rRNA from 1 species
UACGUAGGGGGCAAGCGUUGUCCGGAAUCAUUGGGCGUAAAGAGCGUGUAGGCGGCCAGGUAGGUCUGCUGUGAAAACUCGAGGCUCAACCUCGAGACGUCGGCGGAAACCAUCUGGCUAGAGUCCGGAAGAGGAGAGUGGAAUUCCUGGUGUAGCGGUGAAAUGCGUAGAGAUCAGGAAGAACAUCGGUGGCGAAGGCGCUCUGCUGGACCAUAACUGACGCUGAGGCGCGAAAGCUAGGGGAGCAAACGGG